GCGUUGUCCGAAGUUACUGGGCGUAAAGAGCGCGUAGGCGGAUCUUUAAGUGAGGGGUGAAAGGUUCAGGGCUUAACCCGGACACUGCCUUUCAUACUGGAGACCUUGAGUGCGGGAGAGGCGAGUGGAAUUCUUGGUGUAGCGGUGAAAUGCGUAGAUAUCAAGAGGAACACCCAUGGCGAAGGCAGCUCGCUGGCCUGCAACUGACGCUGAGGCGCGAAAGCGU
rnacentral:rRNA from 1 species